GACGGGGGGCCGAGUGGUUAAGGCGAUGGGGGGCUUUUAAUCCUUUGGGGCCUGCCCCGCGUGGGUUCGAAUCCCAUCCUCGUCA